UAAUAUAUUAUAUUAUAUUAUAUUAUAUUAUAUUAUUAUAUUAUUAUAUAUAUAUGACAAAGAAAGAAAGAAAAGAAACAGAGAGCAAAACAAAACAAAACAGAGAAGGGAGAAAGAAAGAAACAGAGAGCAAAACGAAACAGAGAAGGAAGGAAGGAAAGAAAGAAAGAAAAGAAAAGAAAAAGGGAAAUUUGGGGUUUUAAGGUUCAAAGUAAUUUGGUAAGUCAAUUUAAUCCCCUUUUCUCUUAAUUUUGAUAUUUUUUUUGAAAUCCUAGAACAAAAUACUACUUGAUUUAAGUUGAAAUUUUGGAAGUUAGUAGAUUAUUAAGCAUGGUUCAUGUUGAAUAAAUUGUUAAAUUAGGGAUGUAUUUGAUAGAAAUUUUGAUUGGAAUUGAAUAAAGGAUUGAAUUGUAAACUAAACUAUAAGUUUUAAAUUUUAGGGAUUAAUUUGAAAUAAAUUCAGAAUUAUGAAAACAUGAUAAAAAUUAAAUAGUUAAAUAUGAGUUUAGUAAGAAAUUGGGUAGAAUAAGGGUAUGAAUUGAGAAAGAAAAAAAUAUAGGUUUAGUUAGGGGUUAAAUUGAUUUAAUUUCAAGUUAGAAGUUAGUAAAGAAUGUAAUUGUAAAAUAAAAUAUAAGUUUUGAAUUGAUAGGAAUUAAAUUGAAAGAAUCCCGAAAUUAGGGAUUUAUGGGGAAAUUGAAGAAUUAAACUGAGUUUAUAGUAAGAAUUAAGAGAGAAUAUAGAGUUAGAAUGCAAAAAAUAAAAUUAGUAUUGAUAAGGGAUUAAAUUAGAAUUUGAUGUUGCCAUAGAAGGGAAAAAUGUUCAGAAUGUUAUAAAACAUAAGAAUAAGAGAUGAAGUUUAAUUUCCGAGCCUUGGGGCAAAAAUGUAAUUAUGUAAAAGUUUAGGGGCAAAAUUGUAAUUUUGAAAAAGUUAGAGUCCAGGGCUAUUUUGAUGAAUGUGAUUAUUAAAUAAGUUAAAUUUACUAUUUUAGAUCGAGAAGUGCGAAACUCGAGGUUAGACAAAGGGAAGAAUAAAGUUGAAGACUAAGUUGGUGAAUUUGGCUAUAAUUGGUACCGAGGUAAGUUUACGGUAAAUAAAUGCAAUAUUUCAAUAUUUAUUAUUAAUGCUGUUAAUUUCCAGAAAUUAUGAAUUUAUUUUAUGAAUUUAUUUGAUGAUGAUCCAAGCAUGGAAUGAUAGAGAAUUAAAAUUUAAAAGUCCCGUUGAUACAUAAGGAUGGUACUGGAUACGAAUGUCAUGACAUUUGGGUAAAGAGAUCCCAUGUAAGACCAUGUCUGGGACAUGGCAUUGGCAUCCUUAAGAUCAUGAGAGGUCCCCUGUAAGACCAUGUCUGGGACAUGGCAUGGGCACCGAGACGAGAGGUCCCAUGUAAGACCAUGUCUGGGACAUGGCGUUGGCACCGAGAUGAGAGGUCCCCUAUAAGACCAUGUCUGGGACAUGGCAUGGGCACCAUCACGAGAACAUCCCAUGUAAGACCAUGUCUGGGACAUGGCUUUGGCAUGUUAUUAUCAGAAGAGACCCGAGUAUCCUUAUUAUUCCAAUGUAGCUCAACGGGCUUGUAUACGAAUCAUGUUCAUGAAAGUUCAGUUUAAAGCAUAAAUGGCAAGCUCAGGUAAGUUGUAAGACUUAAGAACUUAUUAUACUAUCAAUUGAUGUUCAACGAUGCAGCAAGGAUUGAGUAAGUUAUGCACACAAAUAUUCUAAGUAAACAAGUAAGAGAACUAGUAUGAGAUUAACUAAAGAGUAAACUAGAGAUAUAGACAUUGAGUUUAAUUAUUUAAGUUAAAUAUUGUUAUUUAUUUGCUAGUAAACUUACUAAGCUUUAUGCUUACUUCUUUUAUUUCUCUUUCUCUUAUAGUAUUGCAAAGCUACUUCAAGGAUCCUAAAGAAGUCGGAGAUCGUCCACACUAUCAACUACAACUGCUCGGUAUUUUAUAUCGAAACACGUUUAAGUUAUGGCAUGUAUAGGGAUUUAGUUAUUUUGUAUGUUUAUAGUGAUGAUUUUGCUAAUGAGUGAUGUGUAAGUAUUUGAUGAUGUAUGGUUAUUAAAAUGAUUAAGGAUGAAGGUGUUUGUUGUUAUGAAAGAUUAGGUGAUAAAUUAUGCAUGGAAAUCAUGAAAGGAUAAAAUUUUGCAAAGAAACAGAAUUCAGGCAGCACAGUAACGUGAAUUUGAAAAAUCACCCAAGAUAGUAUAAAAUGAAUUAGAGGGUGAAUGAUAUAUGGAAUUAAAGUUUGUUGAGUCUAUUUUCAUGGAAAAAUAACGGUGUAGAAAAAAGAAAUUUAUAUUUUAAGAUAUGUGAAUUUUAGUAAGAUAGGGUCAGAACUGUUUUUGGAGUCCCCUGUUCUGAGUUUAGAAAAUAAUUAAAAAUUGUACAAAAAUGGUUAUGAGUUGAAAUUUACAUGCUUAGAUUCCUUAAUGAGUCUAUUUUCUAUAGAAACAAGUAAGAACUUCAUAUGAAAAUCCUAUAGUGAGAAAAUUUAUUUUUAGUGACUAGAGGUCAGGGCAGUCUGGUGGUGACACAGGGGAGACUUUAACUAAUAAACUGUACUAAUUUGCUGAACCAAAAAUUCUAAAAAUUUUAUGGUGAGUAGAUAUAUGAGUCUAGUUUCAGGGAAAAUUUACGGGAUUAAAUUUCGAGUUCUGUAGCUCAAGUUAUAAUUAAUUUAGUAACUGCUGCGCGAUUAGACAGAUUUGCUGCGAAUAAUGAAAUAAAUUUUCAAACCUAGUUUUUAUGCUCCGAAUUGGUAAGAUAAGCUAAGUAAUGCCUCGUGCUCGACUCCGGAAACGGACUCGGGUAAGGGGUGUUACAUUGUUCAUGAUGCAAAUGUUGGUAAUUAUAUUUGGUCAUGUUAUAAGCUUAAUUGAGAGGUAUGAUUUAUGGUAAAUAUGUUGUGAUGUUGGUUAUAUGAUUUGGCAAUGAGAAGUGGUAAGUAGGGUAUAUAUUCGGCUUAUUAAUUAACUCACUUUGGUAGAGCAUGAAAAGUGGUAUAAUAUGGUUUGGUAAAAGGGGUCAUUUGAAUAUCUAUAAAUGACAUAUUGUUUUGAUGCUAAGAUAUGAGAUAAUAUGUUUAUCUUAUAGACUGGGUGAUGGAGAUGUUAUGAUUUAUUGAGUUAAAUUUGAUAACCGAAACGUUGUUUUUUUCAAAUUGUUGGACAUUUGAGAUAUGAAUACAUAUGCCUAUUAAAUGUUUGCUUGUAGUUCGUUUUAAAAAGGUCAAAUCGUUGAUUCAAUGAUGGUUAUAAAAUGUGUUAUAUAUAUAGGUAGUUAUAUGUUCGGCUAUGGUAUUUGACUAUUUAGGCUCGAUUUUUGAAUGACAAAGAAUGUAUAUGAUCUAAUUGAUAUGAAGGUUAAUUGAAUGAUUGAUUAUUGAAAUAUUAAUUGGUUGUGUAUAUGAAUUAUAGGCAUGAUAUUUCGCAUGCGAAUUAGGUAUGAGGUUCAUGUGUGUGGUUGAAUAUAACAUGUUAGAUAUGUUAUUUAGCUUGCAAAUUAGAUAUUUCAUGACUUGGCAUUUGUAUUCGAAAAUGGUUAAAUUUGAUUUUGUAAAAUGUACAUAAGGUUAUAAUGUUUAAAAUGCUAUGAUUUGGUAAUUGAAUUUAGAAAUGACUUUUGGUUUUAGGGUGUUAUGCACAUGGUUGGAUGAUGUUAAAAAAAAAUUAGUUGGUCAUGUAUAAAGUUACCUAACGUUUUAUGUGCAAAUAAUUAUUAAACUGCGAGAUAUGGCUAAAUUAGUUUAACAGGUGUAUGUAUAAUGUUUAUUAAAUAUUACGUUUGUUAUUUAGUUAAUGAUAUGGCUUGCAUUUUUGUAAUUUUGAAACAUGUACAAAUUGGUUUUGAUAUUUGAUGGCUUGGCUUGAAAGUUUUGAAUUAGCAAACGUAAUUGAAAUGGUUAGAUAUUGAAAUAUAAUUCGUAUAAGAGAAUGUUCGAUAAAGCAUGAUUUGUGUGGUUAGAUAUGUGAUUCGAAUAAAUGAUUUUGACUUGUAUGAAUAAGAGGUUGGUUUAUUAAUUUAUUUCGAAAAAUUUUAUAAGGGAUAAUACAUUACUGGGCCUAUGAAUUGUAAAGAAUGUCUGUUCUGAACUGUGUUUUGUUUGGUAAUACCUCGUAACCCUAGUCCGGCGACGGAUACAGGUUAAGGGGUGUUACAAAACUAGUCCCUGAAAUAUUACAACUCCUACAAAUUGGUCCAGGUAAGUUCAUACGGCUGAAAUUUUAUGAUUAAUUGUUAAUGUGGGAAUGAUAUAUUGUAUCAAUUCGUAUAUUGUUGUUGAAAUAUGAUUAUGGUAAAAUGAGAAAAAAAAUGAGAUUGUUAGUUCAAAUUAAGGGAUAUGCAAGAUUGAGUACAUACGUUCAGUAACCAGUGAUGAAUUGACGAAUAAGUCAAUGGUGGAUCCAUGGCAAAGUGUGGAACGUAGGUAUGGUAUUUCAGUAAAGAAAACUAUACUGAGUUGUGAAAAGUAGGUAUGGUAUUUCAGUAAAGAAAACCAUACUGAGUUGUGAGAAGUAGGUAUGGUAUUUCAGUAACGAAAACCAUGCUGAGUUGUGAAAAGUAGGUAUGGUAUUUCAAUGAAGAAAACCAUACUGAGUUAUAGCAUUGUAAAAGAUUCAAGCAAAUCGUGGCACUGGGCAAACGAUGUACUCAAAUCCGUAAGACGAUCCUCAAUUUGACAAGUAUUUGUAAGUGCAAUUGAAGCUAAAUAUUGGAAAUAAGUUGAUAUCUGAUAUUGAGCUCGAUUGAGCAAAUUCAUUGUUUGAGAUUGUGGUUGGCAGGAAAUGUUGAAUUAUACUUGUUUAUUAAUAUUGUUAGUGAAAUCUUGAUAAAAUUUUAUUAUGAGCCUAUGAACUUACUAAGCUUUUUGUAAGCUUACUCUUGUGUGUUUAAUGUUCUUUAUAGAUUGAUGUGAAAUCGGUGGAUCGGAUCAACACAUCAUGGCACACUAUCCAGAUUACUUCGAUAAAUUUUAUUGUGCAUGUAUGUUUAUAUGGCAUGUAUAGGGUUUAAUUGAAAGGAAGUGAAGGUGUUAUAAACUUGGUUAUUAAUAUUUUUUUUACUAAAACAGUUUUGGACAGCAGCAGUAGUUCAAUUUUGAAAAAUCACCAAAAAUAGUGAAAAUUGAAUUAGAAGCUGAAUAAGAUAUGAAAUUAAAGCUAAAUGAGUCUAUUUUCACAUGAAGAAAUAGAGUAACCAAAAGAGUUAUAUAAUUUUAGAUAUUUGAAUUUUUGUGAGACAGAGUAAGAAUGGUUUUUGAAGUCCCCUGUUUUGACUUUAGAAAAUCAUUAAAAAUUGUACAGAAAGAAUUAUGAGUUAUAUUUUAUAUGUCUAGAUUCCUUAGUGAGUUUAUUUUCAAUAGAAACAAGUAGAAGCACCAUAUGAAGUUUGUACAAUGAGAU
rnacentral:lncRNA from 1 species